CCUACGGGAGGCAGCAGUGAGGAAUAUUGGUCAAUGGGCGCGAGCCUGAACCAGCCAAGUAGCGUGAAGGAUGACUGCCCUACGGGUUGUAAACUUCUUUUAUAAAGGAAUAAAGUGAGGCACGUGUGCCUUUUUGUAUGUACUUUAUGAAUAAGGAUCGGCUAACUCCGUGCCAGCAGCCGCGGUAAUACGGAGGAUUCGAGCGUUAUCCGGAUUUAUUGGGUUUAAAGGGAGCGUAGAUGGGUUGUUACGUCAGUUGUGAAAGUUUGCGGCUCAACCGUAAAAUUGCAGUUGAUACUGGCUGUCUUGAGUACAGUUGAGGUAGGCGGAAUUCGUGGUGUAGCGGUGAAAUGCUUAGAUAUCACGAAGAACUCCGAUUGCGAAGGCAGCUUACUAAACUGCCACUGACAUUGAUGCUCGAAAGUGUGGGUAUCAAACAGGAUUAGAUACCCUGGUAGUC
rnacentral:rRNA from 1 species